GCAGAGCGAGCCGCGGUGGACGGAGUGGAACCGGCCCUCCUCCCUCGACAUCGCGUUCAGCAACGCCGACGCCAUGGCCGCGGCGGGCCUCGCCGGCGGCGGGAGCUUCUCCUCGUUGGACGGAGGGCUUCUGGGGCAGCUGGGGCAGCUCUCCCCUCUCUUCCAGGACUCAAUGCCGGACGUGUUCAAGUACCUCCACAAGCCCUUCUAAGAACGCGUCUCGGUGCCCCUUGCCGUGCCGUGCGGCGCCCCCACCGGCGAGCCGCCGUCGCUGGACGGCGCCGGCGGCGAUGAGACCGUUGGGCUGGCCCGUCUCUACGGAGCUUCUCUUUAGAUCCCUGGAAAAAAGGUCGUGGGUGUCACGUAUGUAUAGAUAGGGUCGCGCUUGCUGUUAGUUCCCCCCCAAUUCUUGUACUCCACUGUUUUGAAGAUAAGCCCAGAUAUCUGCUUUCCUUAUAAAACCGCCCUCCUUUCCGACCACCCCCGUUAUUUUGAAAGCACCCC
rnacentral:lncRNA from 1 species